rnacentral:rRNA from 1 species
AUUCCAGCUCCAAUAGCGUAUAUUAAAGUUGUUGCAGUUAAAAAGCUCGUAGUUGGAUUUCUGUUUUGAAUGUCCGGUCGGUCAGUUUCUGAUGUGUACUUUGGAUAUUCGAAGCAUUUUUUGUGAGGGUCCUUGACUGGCAUUAAGUUGUUGGUUUUGGAAGCUUGCAUCGUUUACUGUGAAAAAAUUAGAGUGUUUCAAGCAGGCGUUUGCUUUUGAAUACAUUAGCAUGGAAUAAUAGGAUAUGACUCGCGUGGUCUAUUUUGUUGGUUUGCACACGCAAGUAAUGAUUAAUAGGGACAGUUGGGGGUAUUCAUAUUUGAGCGUCAGAGGUGAAAUUCUUGGAUCGCUGAAAGAUGAGCUUAGGCGAAAGCAUUUAUCAUGGAUGUUUUCAUUG